GGCUUUGGCCGUGGCUUAGUGGUAGAGCGCCCGCCUCGGCUGCGGGAGGCUAUGGGUUCGAUUCCCACCGCCGCCG
rnacentral:tRNA from 1 species